rnacentral:tRNA from 1 species
UCCCUUAUGGCUCAGAUGGUAAAGAAUCUGCCUGCAAUGCAGGAGACCUGGGUUUAAUUCCUGGGUUGGGAA